CUUCUAGCCUGAUCCUUGGUGGUGCCUUCUCGACGUCUCGGAGGAUCGUGCCUUCCUGGUCCUUGGCCUAUAAAUAUGGGGAUCCCCGUGCUCCUUGCCAUCCAGAACCUCUCUACACCGAUGCCCAGCCCCAUAAGGCUGGCAUAGUAGAAACUCUUGGGAGCCUGUCGCCGCCGAGACCAGCCCCGUCAGGGCAACAUUGUAGAAACUGGGCGCCUGCACACAGCGGAGUAGGGAAAACAGUGACCACGGGCUAGAAACUCGGCGCCUGCAUGUUGUGGAGUACUGGGAGUAGGGCAAAUUGCGACUACCGGCAUGGCAUCGACACUGCUGAGCAUACGGCACCUGACACCCGAGUCGGCGUAUCGGCUCGCGAGACAGUAGCUCAACAUACCGCCAAGACGAGGGACAUGGGACCCCAGCCCAAGCCGAGCAUCCUAGGCGCUCCGAUGAAUAGGUCGCGCUUGCGGUGGACGCAGCCGAUGCGGACGCCCUGCACUGGUGUGCUGUCCCCGAAGAUGAGCAUCUCCAAAGCAAGCACACCCCUGGGUGUACGAUUCGUCGACGUACGACACCUGGUCCCGGUAGGGCCGGAGAUGGCGUAGCCGGAGGAUCCGCUAGGCAGCGUCCGGCAAAAACCGGAGCCACACAGCAACACGGUGAAGGACGCCAGCGUGGACGGGUCACUCUGCCGCGGGUCGUCUCUUGCCGUAAGGUUGAGCAUGAUGUGUCGCCUUGCUAUCUCUUAAGCACUGUGUUGGAUUUCCCCGAAAAGGAGAAGAUGAUGCAACAAAGUAGCGUAAGUAUUUCCCUCGGUUUUUGAGAACCAAGGUAUCAAUCCAGUAGGAGACCACGCACAAGUCCCUCGUACCUGCACAAAACGAUAGCUACUCGCAACCAACGUUAUUAGGAGUUGUCAAUCCCUUCACGGUCACUUACGAGAGUGAGAUCUGAUAGAGAUGAUAAAUAAUUUUUUUGGUAUUUUUGAUAUAAAGAUGCAAAGUAAAAAGUAAAAAGCAAAGUAAAAAAACAAAGCAAGUAAUAAAGCGAUAGAGAUUGAUAUGAUGAGAAUAGACCCGGGGGCCAUAGGUUUCACUAGUGGCUUCUCUCAAGAGCAUAGAUAUUCUACGGUGAGUGAACAAAUUACUGUUGAGCAAUUGACAGAAUUGAGCAUAAUUAUGAGAAUAUCUAGGCAAUGAUCAUGUAUAUAGGCAUCACGUCCAAGACAAGUAAAUCGAAACGAUUCUCCAUCUACUAUUAUUACUCCACUCAUCGACCGCUAUCCAGCAUGCAUCUAGAGUAUUAAGUUAAAAACAGAAUAACGCCUUAAGCAAGAUGACAUGAUGUAGAGGAUAAAUUCAUGCAAUAUGAUAAAAAACCCAUCUUGUUAUCCUCGAUGGCAACAAUACAAUACAUGACUUGCAGCCCUUUCUGUCACUGGGUAAGGACACCGCAAGAUCGAACCCAAAGCUAAGCAUUUCUCCCAUUGCAAGAACUACCAAUAUAGUUGGCCAAACCAACAGGAUAAUUCGAAGAGACUUGCAAAGAUAACUCAAUCAUACAUAAAAGAAUUCAGAGAAGAAUCAAAUAUUUUCCAUAGAUAAUACUAGAUCAUAAACCAACAAUUCGUCGGUUUCAACAAACACACCGCAAAAAGAAGAUUACAUCGAAUAGAUCUCCACAAGAGAGGGGGAGAACAUUGUAUUGAGAUCCAAAAAGAGAGAAGAAGCCAUCUAGCUACUAGCUAUGGACCCGAAGGUCUGAAGUAAACUACUCACACUUCAUCAGAGGGGCUAUGGUGUUGAUGUAGAAGCCCUCCGUGGUGGAUGCCUCCUCCGACGGAGCUUCGGAACAGGCCUCAAGAUGGGAUCUCGUGGAUACAGAAGGUUGCGGCGGUGGAAUUAGGUUUUUGGCUCCUGGUCUGAUCGUUCGGAGAUACGUAGGUAUAUAUAGGAGGAAGGAGUACGUCCGUGGAGCAACAGGGGGCCCACGAGGUAGGGGGGCGCACCCUCCACCCUCGUGACCGCCUCUGGCACUUCUUGGAGUAGGGGUCCAAGUCUCCUGGAUCACGUUCGGUGAGAAAAUCACGUUCCCAAAGGUUUUAUUCCAUUUGGACUCCGUUUGAUAUUCCAUUUCUUCGAAACACUGAAAUAGGCAAAAAACAACAAUUCUGGGCUGGGCCUCCGGUUAAUAGGUUAGUCCAAAAAAUAAUAUAAAAGUGGAAAAUAAAGCUCAAUAUAGUCCAAAACAGUAGAUAAAGUAGCAUGGAGCAAUAAAAAAUUAUAAAUACGUUGGAGACGUAUCAGGCAUCCCCAAGCUUAAUUCCUGCUCGUCCUCGAGUAGGUAAAUGAUAAAAAAAAGAAUUUUUGAUGCGGAGAUACUUUGGCAUAAUUUCAAUGUAAAUCUUCUUAAUUGUGAUAUGAAUAUUCAGAUCCGAAAGAUUCAAGACAAAAGUUCAUAUUGACAUAAAAAUUAAUAAUACUUCAAGCAUACUAAUCAAAGCAAUCAUGUCUUCUUAAAAUAACAUGGCCAAAGAAAGUUAUCCCUACAAAAUCAUAUAGUCUGGCUAUGCUCCAUCUUCCCCACAUAAAAUAUUUAAAUCAUGCACAACCCCGAUGACAAGCCAAGCAAUUGUUUCGUACUUAUGACAUUCUCAAAACUUUUUCAAUCUUCACACAAUACAUGAGCGUGAGUCAUGGAUAUAGCACUAUGUGGAAUAGAAUGGUGGUUGUGGAGAAGAAAAAAAGAGGGAAGAUAGUCUCACAUCAACUAGGCGUAUCAACGGGCUAUGGAGAUGCCCAUCAAUAGAUAUCAAUGUGAGUGAGUAGGGAUUGCCAUGCAACGGAUGCACUAGAGCUAUAAGUAUAUGAAAGCUCCACAAAAAAACUAAGUGGGUGUGCAUCCAACUUGCUUGCUCACGAAGACCUAGGGCAUUUUGAGGAAGUCCAUCAUUGGAAUAUACAAGCCAAGUUCUAUAAUGAAAAAUUCCCACUAGUAUAUGAAAGUGACAAAAUGAGAGACUCUCUAUCAUGAAGAUCUUGAUGCUACUUUGAAGCACAAGUGUGGUAAAAGGAUAGUAGCAUCGUCCCUUCUCUCUUUUUCUCUUUUUUUUGUUUGGGCCUUUCUUUUUUUUUUGGCCCCCUUUUUUUUAUUUUUCGUCCAGAGUCUCAUCCCGACUUAUGGGGAAUCAUAGUCUCCAUCAUCCUUUCCUCACUUGGGAUAAUGCUCUAAUAAUGAUGAUUAUCACACUUUUAUUUUUCUUACAACUCAAUAAUUACAACUCGAUACUUAGAACAAAGUAUGACUCUAUAUGAAUGCCUCCGGUGGUGUACUGGGAUAUGCAAUGAAUCAUGAGUGACAUGUAUGAAAGAAUUAUGAACGGUGGCCAUGCCAUAAAUACGAUGUCAACUACAUGAUCAUGCUAGCAAUAUGACAAUGAUGGAGCGUGUCAUAAUAAACGGAACGGUGGAAAGUUACAUGGCAAUAUAUCUCGGAAUGGCUAUGAAAAUGCCAUGAUAGGUAGGUAUGGUGGCUGUUUUGAGGAAGGUAUACGGUGGGUGUAUGAUACCGGCGAAAAGUGCGCGGUAUUAGAGAGGCUAGCAAAGGUGGAAGGAUGGGAAAAAGUGCGUAUAAUCCAUGGACUCAACAUUAGUCAUAAAGAACUCAUAUACUUGUUGCAAAAAUCUAGAAGUUAUCAAAGCAAAGUAUUACGCGCAUGCUCCUAGGGGGAUAGAUUGGUAGGAAAAGACCAUUGCUCGUCCCUGACCGCCACUCAUAAGAAAGACAAUCAAUAAAUAAAUCAUGCUCUGAGUUCAUCACAUAACGGUUCACCAUACGUGCAUGCUACGAGAAUCACAAACUUUAACACAAGUAUUCUUUGAAUUCACAACUACUUUAACUAGCAUGACUCUAAUAUCACCAUCUUCAUAUCUCAAAACAAUUAUCAAGCAUCAAACUUAUCUUAGUAUUCAACACACUCAAAAGAAAGUUUCACAUAUCUUGAACACCAAAUAUAUUAACAUUAAGCGAAUUACCAUGCUAUUAACGACUCUCAAAAUAAUCUAAGUGAAGCAUGAGAGAUCAAUAGUUUCUUUAAAACAAAUCCAUCACCGUGCUCUAAAAGAUAUAAAUGAAGCACUAGAGCAAAAAUUAUCACGCUCAAAAGAUAUAAGUGAAGCACUAUGAGCAAAACUAUCAAGCUCAAAAGAUAUAAGUGAAGCACAUAGAGUAUUCUAACAAAUUCCAAUUCAUGUAUGACUCUCUCAAAAGGUGUGUAUAGCAAGGAUGAUUGUGGUAAACUAACAAGCAAAGACGCAAAUAAUACAAGACGCUCCAAGCAAAACACAUAUCAUGUGGUGAAUAAAAAUAUAGCUCCAAGUAAAUUACCGAUGAAAGUGGACGAAAGAGGGGAUGCCUUCCGGGGCAUCCCCAAGCUUUGACUUUUUGGUGUCCUUGGAUUAUCUUGGGGGUGCCAUGGGCAUCCCCAAGCUUAGGCUCUUGCCACUCCUUGUUUCAUAAUCCAUCAAAAGAAUUCACCCAAAACUUGAAAACUUCACAACACAAAACUCAACAGAAAUCUCAUGAGCUCCGUUAGAGAAAGAAAACAAAGAACUACUUAAGAUAUUGUAAUGAACUCAUUCUUUAUUUAUAUUGGUGUUAAACCUACUGUAUUCCAACUUCUCUAUGGAUUAUAAACUAUUUUACUAGCCAUAGAUUCAUCAAAAUAAGCAAACAACACACGUAAAACAAAAUCCGUCAAAAACAGAACAGUCUGUAGCAAUCUGUAACUAACGCAAACUUCUAGAACUCUAAAAAUUCUACCAAAAUAGGAAGUCCUGUAAAAUUUGUUUAUUGAACAGCAGAAAAAAGAUUUAAUGCAAAAGCACGUUCCUGUGAUUUAACAAAAUUAUAUUCCUGCGUGCAAAGUUUCUGUUUUUCAGCAGAAUCAACUAUCAUCGUAGGUUAUCCUAUAGGUUCUACUUGGCACAAACACUAAUUAAAAGAUAAAACCACAUCCAAACAGAGGCUAGAUGGAUUAUUUAUUCCUAAACAGAAGCAAAAACAAAAAACAAAAAAAAUAAAAUUGGGUUGCCUCCCAACAAGCGCUAUCGUUUAACACCCCUAGCUAGGCAUAAAAGCAAGGAUAGAUCUAGGUAUUGCCAUCUUCGGUAGGCAAUCCAUAAGUGGCUCUCAUGAUAGAUUUAUAUGGUAAUUUUAUUUUCUUUCUAGGAAAGUGUUACAUGCCCUUCUUUAAUGGAAAUUGGAAUCGAAUAUUCCCUUCCUUCAUAUCAAUAAUUGCACCAAUCGUUCUAAGGAAAGGUCUACCAAGAAUAAUAUGACAUGAAGGAUUGCAAUCUAUAUCAAGAACGAUAAAAUCUACGGGCACAUAAUUCUUAUUUGCAACAAUAAGAACAUCAUUAAUUCUUCCCAUAGGCUUUUUAAUAGUAGAAUCCGCAAGAUGCAAGUUUAGAGAGCAAUCAUCAAAAUCACGGAAAUCUAGCAAAUCACACAAAGCUUUGGGAAUAGUAGAGACACUACCACCCAAAUCACACAAAGCAUGAAACUCAUAAUCUUUAAUUUUAAUUUUAAUAGUAGGUUCCCACUCAUCAUAGAGUUUUCUAGGGAUAGAAACUUUCAACUCAAGUUUUUCUUCAUAAGAUUGCAUCAAGGCAUUAACAAUGUGUUCGAUAAAGGCCUUAUUUUAACUAUAAGCAUGAGGAGAAUCUAGCACGGAUUGCAACAAGGAAAUACAACCAAUCAAAGAGCAAUUUUCAUAAUUAAAUUCCUUGAGAUCCAAAAUAGUGGGUUUAGCAACAUCUAGGUCUAGAAACUCUGAAUUCUUAGAACGCCUUCUAGGUAAAGGAAGAUCACAUUCAGUUUCAUCAAGAUUCAUAUUGCAAAACAAAGAUUUGAUAGGGGACACAUCAAUAACUUUUAGAUCUUCAUCUUGAUUUUCAUAGGAAUUGGAAGAGCACGCUUUAAUAAAGGCAUCUUUGAAAGCACGCAUCCUAGCGGUUCUUUCCUUGCACUCAUCAAUGGAAAUUCUCAUGGCUUUGAGAGACUCAUUGAUAUCAUGCUUAGGAGGAAUAGAUCUAAGCUUUAAAGAAUCAAUUUCAAGAGAAAUUUUAUCAACGUUCCUAGCCAAAUCAUCAACUUUAAGCAAUUUCUCUUCAAGCAAAGCAUUAAAAUUCUUUUGUGAAUUCAUAAACUCUUUAACACUACUCUCAAAUUCAGAGGGCAUCUUAUUAAAAUUUCCAUAAGAGUUGUUGUAGGAGUUUCCAUAAUUAUUAGAAGGAUUACUAGGAUAAGACCUAGGAUUAAAAUUCCCUUUAUAAGCGUUGUUUUCAAAACUAUUCCUACCAACAAAAUUCACAUCCAUAGAUUCAUUAUUAUUAUCAAGCAAGGUAGACAAAGGCAUUUCAUUGGGAUCAAGAGGAGUAUUUUUAGGAGCAAACAUCUUCAUAAGUUCAUCCAUCUUUUCACUCAAAACAUUGAUUUCUUCUAUAGCAUGCACUUUUUUACUAGAAGAUCUUUUGGUCUGCCAUUGAGAAUAAUUAGCCAUAAUAUUAUCAAGCAAUUUGAUAGCAUCUCCUAACAUAAUUUCCAUAAACGUGCCUCCCGCGGCCGAAUCUAAAAGAUUUCUAGAAGCAAAAUUCAAUCCGGCAUAAAAAAUUUGUAUGAUCAUCCAUAAAUUCAAACCAUGAGUAGGGCAAUUGCGAAGCAUAAAUUUCAUUCUUUCCCAAGAUUGGGCAACAUGCUCAUGAUCAAGUUGUUUAAAAUUCAUGAUAUCGUUCCUAAGAGUGAUGAUCUUAGCGGGAGGAAAAUACUUAGAGAUAAAAGCAUCUUUGCACUUGUUCCAAGAAUCAAUACUAUUUUUAGGCAAAGACGAAAACCAAACUUUAGCACGAUCUCUAAGUGAAAACGGAAAUAACUUCAACUUGACAAUAUUUUUAUCUGUAUCUUUCUUCUUUUGCAUAUUACACAAAUCAACAAAAUUGUUUAGAUGAGUAGCGGCAUCUUCACUAGGAAGGCCGGUGAAUUGAUCUUUCAUAACAAGAUUCAGCAAAGCGGUAUUGAUUUCACAAGACUCAUCAUUAUUAAGAGGAGCAAUCGGAGUACUAAGGAAAUCAUUAUUAUUGGUAUUCGAUAAAUCACACAAUUUGGUAUUAUCUUGCGCCAUGGCAACAAGUAAUCCAACACACAAGCAAACAGAAAGGCAACGGGAAAAAGGCAAACGGGAAAGAGAGGAGGAGAUUGGGAAAGAGAGGGCGAAUAAAACGGCAAGGGUGAAGUGGGGGAGAGGAAAACAAGAGGCAAAUGGCAAAUAAUGUAAUGCGAGAGAUAGGGAUUGUGAUGGGUACUUGGUAUUGUUGACUUGCUUGUGUGAGCCUCCCCGACAAUGGUGCCAGAAAUUCUUCUUGCUACCUCUUGAGCACUGCAUUGGAUUUCCCCGAAGAGGAGAGGAUGAUGCAGCAAAGUAGCGU
rnacentral:lncRNA from 1 species